AUUUCCCUCUUGCUGCCUUCCUAACACAUGCAAGUCGAACGAGUGGCGGACGGGUGAGUAAUGUCUGGGAAACUGCCCGAUGGAGGGGGAUAACUACUGGAAACGGUAGCUAAUACCGCAUACCAUCGGAUGUGCCCAGAUGGGAUUAGCUAGUAGGUGGGGUAAUGGCUCACCUAGGCGACGAUCCCUAGCUGGUCUGAGAGGAUGACCAGCCACACUGGAACUGAGACACGGUCCAGACUCCUACGGGAGGCAGCAGUGGGGAAUAUUGCACAAUGGGCGCAAGCCUGAUGCAGCCAUGCCGCGUGUAUGAAGAAGGCCUUCGGGUUGUAAAGUACUUUCAGCGAGGAGGCGUUACUCGCAGAAGAAGCACCGGCUAACUCCGUGCCAGAAGCAGAGGGAAUUC
rnacentral:rRNA from 1 species